UGCGUAGGCGGCGGCACAAGUCAGGUGUGAAAUCCCCGGCUCAACCGGGGAACAGCGCUUGAAACUAGGUCGCUCGAGUGAGGUAGGGGUGCAUGGAACUUCCGGUGGAGCGGUGAAAUGUGUAGAUAUCGGAAGGAACGCCGGCGGCGAAAGCGGUGCACUGGGCCUUGUCUGACGCUGAGGCACGAAAGGCUAGGGAAGUAGAAC
rnacentral:rRNA from 1 species